rnacentral:rRNA from 1 species
AUGCAGUCGAGCGGAGAUGAGGUGCUUGCACCUUAUCUUAGCGGCGGACGGGUGAGUAAUGCUUAGGAAUCUGCCUAUUAGUGGGGGACAACAUUCCGAAAGGAAUGCUAAUACCGCAUACGCCCUACGGGGGAAAGCAGGGGAUCUUCGGACCUUGCGCUAAUAGAUGAGCCUAAGUCGGAUUAGCUAGUUGGUGGGGUAAAGGCCUACCAAGGCGACGAUCUGUAGCGGGUCUGAGAGGAUGAUCCGCCACACUGGGACUGAGACACGGCCCAGACUCCUACGGGAGGCAGCAGUGGGGAAUAUUGGACAAUGGGCGGAAGCCUGAUCCAGCCAUGCCGCGUGUGUGAAGAAGGCCUUUUGGUUGUAAAGCACUUUAAGCGAGGAGGAGGCUACUUAGAUUAAUACUCUAGGAUAGUGGACGUUACUCGCAGAAUAAGCACCGGCUAACUCUGUGCCAGCAGCCGCGGUAAUACAGAGGGUGCGAGCGUUAAUCGGAUUUACUGGGCGUAAAGCGUGCGUAGGCGGCUGAUUAAGUCGGAUGUGAAAUCCCUGAGCUUAACUUAGGAAUUGCAUUCGAUACUGGUCAGCUAGAGUAUGGGAGAGGAUGGUAGAAUUCCAGGUGUAGCGGUGAAAUGCGUAGAGAUCUGGAGGAAUACCGAUGGCGAAGGCAGCCAUCUGGCCUAAUACUGACGCUGAGUACGAAAGCAUGGGGAGCAAACAGGAUUAGAUACCCUGGUAGUCCAUGCCGU